rnacentral:ncRNA from 1 species
AACCGGCGCAUCUGCGGAGUCUCAGAUGCAUCCUCCCUGUUGGACUCGGCCGGACCUCGUGUCCGGCCUCUUUU